rnacentral:rRNA from 1 species
UUAAGCAUAUCAAUAAGCGGAGGAAAAGAAACCAACAGGGAUUACCUCAGUAACGGCGAGUGAAGCGGUAACAGCUCAAAUUUGAAAUCUGGCCUCACGGUCCGAGUUGUAAUUUGUAGAGGAUGCUUCGAGCAUGGUCUGGCCUAAGUUCCUUGGAACAGGACGUCAUAGAGGGUGAGAAUCCCGUAUGCGGCCAGGUGCCUACGCUCAUGUGAAGCUCCUUCGACGAGUCGAGUUGUUUGGGAAUGCAGCUCAAAAUGGGUGGUAAAUUUCAUCUAAAGCUAAAUAUUGGCCAGAGACCGAUAGCGCACAAGUAGAGUGAUCGAAAGAUGAAAAGCACUUUGGAAAGAGAGUUAAACAGUACGUGAAAUUGUUGAAAGGGAAGCGCUUGCAACCAGACUUGCGCGCGGCCGAUCAUCCGGUGUUCUCACCGGUGCACUCGGCCGUGCUCAGGCCAGCAUCGGUUUUGGCGGCUGGAUAAAGGCCCUAGGAAUGUAGCUCCUCUCGGGGAGUGUUAUAGCCUAGGGUGCAAUGCAGCCUGCCGGGACCGAGGACCGCGCUUCGGCUAGGAUGCUGGCGUAAUGGUUGUAAGCGGCCCGUCUUGAAACACGGACCAAGGAGUCUAACAUCUAUGCGAGUGUUUGGGUGUCAAACCCAUACGCGUAAUGAAAGUGAACGGAGGUGAGAACCCUUAAGGGUGCAUCAUCGACCGAUCCUGAUGUCUUCGGAAGGAUUUGAGUAAGAGCAUAGCUGUUGGGACCCGAAAGAUGGUGAACUAUGCCUGAAUAGGGUGAAGCCAGAGGAAACUCUGGUGGAGGCUCGCAGCGGUUCUGACGUGCAAAUCGAUCGUCAAAUUUGGGUAUAGGGGCG